GCUGGUUCAACUACAGAGUAGUAAGAGUAGGAGUAGGAAUAGAAUAGAAGGCUCUUGUAAACACUUACCUUUCUGCACUUUUAUAUUUCAGUAUUGAAUUCAAUUUAGCUUAUGCAAAUUUUAAUUUCUGCAAUUCUCUUCUGCAACUUUCCUUUCUGCCAAUUUUAUAUUUUAGUUCUUAUUGAGCUUGAUUUACUUUCCUGCAAUUUACAUUUCCUUCAAGUGUUUUUAGAGCUAUGAUCCACUGAACCCCAAUCACUAAGGGAUGAGCUCUGUUAUG